UUGCAGUAUCGGCAAAGAGACUUGAACAAUUAUGAGAGUUCUUUUAUCGUCGCUUCACAUUGAAGAUUAUGCUGCUAGAAUAAAAGCUCUAGUUUGAGGGAGGGGAUCUUUCGGAUGGUCUUUUCCUAUAGAAUGAGUAUACAUUU
rnacentral:snoRNA from 1 species